UUUGAAGUGUGGAAAAUCGACUGCGACUAACAUUAUGAUUGCCAAUUAUCCCUGUCCACAGAUUGAAAAACAUAUUGUGAACAGCGUUCCAUUAAAUAGUCUACACAGUAUGUCCACACAGCGUUUCAACUUAAUUACCUGUGACCUGAGCAGGAAAAGCUCUGUCCCCUAGCAACAGCAUAUUACAGUGUUCUGAACACUAUAUUUCAGGUCUGGUGUUCUUUGUGGUGAUCGUGGUGCUGCUGUCCAUAUACCGGAAAGAACCUCACUGCUGCAAAGACACCCAUGGAGACAUGGAUGCCCCUCCUCAGUACUACAGCAGCAGACAAACACUGGUGGGAAACCCCUGUCUGGAACAGACUCAUGACAUCAUACACGACAACACACACUCACAGUCAGGGCAGCUGUUCCUUAUCGGCCUGCCCUCCAGCUACCGCCUGCCCUCCCUGGAGGCGCCCCUCCCCAGGCUGCCCUCCUACGAGAGUGUCAGGAAGAAGGACCGCCAGAGACAGAUACACAUGAUGAUUGCUGACCGUUUCGGCCUCAACGGCUCCAUGCUGACUGAGCCCCCUCCAACGUAUGAGGAGAGCAUCCGCCACUCCAUUGAAGUACCCUUUGACAUUCUGGGGUCUGUAAUAGACGCCCCUCAUCCCCAGAACAUUUCCCCUCCGCACCCUGGCACAGACUUUACCACUCAGUCAGAGGUAACCACUCAGUGCCCAUCCACUCAGGAUGCCAACAGUGCCACCCUACCAGUCUGAAUCCUCAGACUCGCUACUGACACAUGAUGACAAGGACAACUGGAGUAUUGAUGCUUUUUAUCCAUCUUGAUGUGCCAAACUGGUCAGAGGAUAACAGACAGGGGAAAUGCACACAUUCUCCAUAGGUUGAAUCAGAUCCAGCAGCCAAUGGGUUGACUGUACUGUAGGAACAUCCUGCAGUGACAGUAUGCUGGAAGAUAGUGACCAAAGAUGGUGAAAUUCUACAUUGCGGGUUACUCCAUACUGACAAACUUGAAUGUUUAAACACCUCUUGUCAGUUGUGAUUUUAAACUGGAGCCUAAAUAAGAUUGAUGAACUGGGAAGACUUGGAUUACCAUUCUACAGUGAAAAGGGAAACCGUCCUGUAGAUGACCAAUACCAUGACUAUAUGUGUCUGAGGUGGCAGGUUCUAAUGCCAAAGUUAACUGUAAGAGGAGACAGGCCAGGUAGAAAGACACUCCAUGACAAAUGUGCUGCUGAAAAACAAAUACUAUUUUGCUGUGAACAGAAAAAGCACCAAAAAGGGAAGAACGAUCUUUAGAUUUAAAAAAAAUGUUUCUCAUAUUUUCUACAUUUGAUCAUGGUAACCCCUUUUGAUCAUUUUAUGGAUUAAAGUAAUCUGGAUUAUUGUUUUUUGAGGAACUGUGUUGUAGCAAGUCCUUUUCUGAGUAAAAUCACUCUCCUCUUUUAGUGCAAUGUACGAGCCAAAAACGUAUAAGCGUGAGAUGUAUAAUGCUCAUAUGUCCUACCCUGCUGAGCUUGGGUUGUACAGCUGAGCCAGCUACAACUUGUGUGUUAGUCUUGGAACCUGUGAAGAGUGAGUCAACAACACCAAACCUGUGUUGGCUCUGGUAACGGGUCUUAAAUGCCCAAUGCAGCCGUUUUUAUAUCAAAUCAUUUAUGGGUAACAAUAAUGUACCUUACUGUGAUGGUUUUCUAUUAAAAUUAUCAAAAUUGUUUUUUGUUGCUUUUAUGCUUUUUAAGCGUUAAACGUUUUAACAAGCAAGAUUUGUGGUCCAAGUGGGGAGGAGAAAAGGGAAAACUAGUUGUUAUUGUUAGAGAGGUUUGGAACUCUUUGUUAUUAAUCUAUUCAUUAAUUUACCACCUGGUGAUGUCACCAGGCAUGCAGAAACUCCAUGCAAAACCUGCUGUUUAGAAGGUCCUUUGUAGAAUGUAUUUUCAACCAGGAAAUAAUACUGAUCAAAUCUUGUUAGUUUCAUCAGCUGUUGUUCAAUAUGAUGGAAAACACAGAAAACUGAAUUUUGACUGCACGAGGCCUUUAAGAUACAAUUCAGCAUUGGGAUUGUGGGAAGCGUUAACUAAGUAGCUAGCUUUGUUUAUUCAAGAGCUCUGUGAACAGUGAAUGAGAAUAGCUGUGUAAAAAGCUUUUUUUUGUUGGUUAACUGGGCUGCCUGUUUUAACAGUCCCUGCACAAGCUUGAGAAGAAACCAGUAUGAAUGACAAGAAAAAGUAUGUAAUAUUUCCUUCACAUCAUGUCUGAAACAAAAGUAUGAGGUUUCAGCAGCCGUUAGCAAGUAGAGACAAGUCUACUCAAAAGACAGCAAUUGGGAAAUACUUGUAUGUUUAUACAAGUGUAAGAGUGAGAAUUGG
ensembl:lncRNA